rnacentral:rRNA from 1 species
CUAACAGGAUUCCCCUAGUAACUGCGAGUGAAGCGGGAAAAGCUCAAAUUUAAAAUCUGGCAGUCUUUGGCUGUCCGAGUUGUAGUCUGGAGAAGUGCUUUCUGUGCUGGACCAUGUACAAGUCUCUUGGAACAGAGCGUCAUAGAGGGUGAGAAUCCCGUCUUUGACAUGGACUACCAGUGCUUUAUGAUGCGCUCUCAAAGAGUCGAGUUGUUUGGGAAUGCAGCUCAAAAUGGGUGGUGAAUUCCAUCUAAAGCUAAAUACAGGCGAGAGACCGAUAGCGAACAAGUACCGUGAGGGAAAGAUGAAAAGCACUUUGGAAAGAGAGUUAAACAGUACGUGAAAUUGCUGAAAGGGAAACGCUUGAAGUCAGUCGCGUUGUUUAGAACUCAGCCUUGCUUUUGCUUGGUGCAUUUUCUAUUCAAUGGGUCAACAUCAAUUUUGACUAUCAGAAAAGGGCGAGGGUAAUGUGGCACCUCUGGGUGUGUUAUAGACCCCAGUCAAAUGUGAUAGUUGGGAUUGAGGAAUGCAGCACGCCCGCAAGGGUAGGGGUUUAUCCUACUUUCGUGCUUAGGAUGUUGACAUAAUGGCUUUAAACGACCC